GGUGCCCCUAGAGGCCUUGCAAGCAUGGCUGCUGUGUCACAUAUCGUCAGUAGGUGGCAGUGAGGAGAGAGGCUAGGUCUAUGCUCAAGGUGCUAAUGGAGAACAUCUGAAUGAUUAGUAGCUUAACAGU
ensembl:snoRNA LOC120099019 small nucleolar RNA SNORA17